rnacentral:rRNA from 1 species
CAUACAGCUCAGUAGCACGUGGCUAAUCUGCCCUUAGGAUAGGAACAACCCCGGGAAACUGGGGCUAAUUCCCAAUAGGCGAAGAACUCUGGAAUGAGUCUUCACCCGAAAAGAACCCACGUUACGCUCGUGGAACUCGCCUAAGGAUGAGGCCGCGGCCGAUCAGGUUGUUGGUGAGGUAAUGGCUCACCAAGCCUUUUACCGGUGCGGGCCGUGAGAGCGGGAGCCCGGAGAUGGGUACUGAGACAAGGACCCAGGCCCUACGGGGCGCAGCAGUCGCGAAAACUUUGCAAUACACGCAAGUGUGACAGGGCUAUCCCGAGUGCCAUCCGCUGAGGAAGGCUUUUACCCAGUCUAGAAAGCUGGGAGAAUAAGGAGAGGGCAAGUCUGGUGUCAGCCGCCGCGGUAAUACCAGCUCUCCGAGUGGUGUGGAUGUUUAUUGGGCCUAAAGCAUCCGUAGCUGGCUAAGUCAGUCCCUUGUUAAAUCCACCGAAUUAAUCGUUGGAUUGCGGGGGAUACUGCUUGGCUAGGGGACGAGAGAGGCAGACGGUAUUUUCGGGGUAGGGGUGAAAUCCUAUAAUCCCGGGAAGACCACCAGUGGCGAAGGCUGUCUGCUAGAACGCGCCCGACGGUGAGGGAUGAAAGCUGGGGGAGCGAACCGGAUUAGAUACCCGGGUAGUCCCAGCUGUAAACGAUGCAGGCUAGGUGUUUGGACGGCCACGUGCCGUUCUAGUGCCGCAGGGAAGCUGUU